GAUGAAGAACGUAGCGAAAUGCGAUAAGUAAUGUGAAUUGCAGAAUUCAGUGAAUCAUCGAAUCUUUGAACGCACAUUGCGCCCGCCGGUAUUCCGGCGGGCAUGCCUGUUCGAGCGUCAUUUCAACCAUCAAGCCCUGGGCUUGUGUUGGGGACCUGCGGCUGCCGCAGGCCCUGAAAUGUAGUGGCGGGCUCGCAAGACACACCGAGCGUAGUAGCUUACAACCUCGCUUUGGGAGUGCUGCGGGUGCUGGCCGUAAAGCGACCUUUGCGUCUUUAGCACUAGGUUGACCUCGGAUCAGGUAGGAGGACCCGCUGAACUUAAGCAUAUCAAUAAGCGGAGGA
rnacentral:misc_RNA from 1 species